UUGCUCAAUGGGAGAAAUCCUGAAGCAGCAACGCCGCGUGGAGGAUGAAGGGUCUAUGACUUGUAAACUCCUGUAAAGAAGGAAAAAAUUCCCAUUAGAUGGGAGAUGAUGGUACUUCUGGAGUAAGCCCCGGCUAACUACGUGCCAGCAGCCGCGGUACUACGUAGGGGGCAAGCGUUGUCCGGAUUUACUGGGUGUAAAGGGCGCUCAGGCGGAUUUGUAAGUCAGAGGUGAAAUCUUACAGCUUAACUGUGAAACUGCCUUUGAUACUGCAAGCCUAGAGUAUGGAAGAGAGUGAUGGAAUAUCUGGUGUAGCAGUGAAAUGCGUAGAUAUCAGAUAGAACACCAAUGGCGAAGGCAGUCACUUGGUCCAUUACUGACGCUAAAGCACGAAAGCGUGGGUAGCAAACA
rnacentral:rRNA from 1 species